AGCGAACGCUGGCGGCAGGCCUAACACAUGCAAGUCGAACGAACUCUUCGGAGUUAGUGGCGGACGGGUGAGUAACACGUGGGAACGUGCCUUUAGGUUCGGAAUAACUCAGGGAAACUUGUGCUAAUACCGAAUGUGCCCUCCGGGGGAAAGAUGUAUCGCCUUUAGAGCGGCCCGCGUCUGAUUAGCUAGUUGGUUGGGGUAAUGGCCCACCAAGGCGACGAUCAGUAGCUGGUCUGAGAGGAUGACCAGCCACAUUGGGACUGAGACACGGCCCAAACUCCUACGGGAGGCAGCAGUGGGGAAUCUUGCGCAAUGGGCGAAAGCCUGACGCAGCCAUGCCGCGUGUAUGAUGAAGGUCUUAGGAUUGUAAAAUACUUUCACCGGUGAAGAUAAUGACUGUAGCCGGAGAAGAAGCCCCGGCUAACUUCGUGCCAGCAGCCGCCGUAAAAC
rnacentral:rRNA from 1 species